AAAAAUAGUGCUCCCUCUCUCACAAAAAAGCAAGUCAUUCUUAUAAUAUUGAGGGUGGAUCCACAUGAUUAUGAUUAAGAGAGAUAAUGCAUGUCACCGGGUGCACCCAAUAAUUUCUUGAGACAUUCAGCUGAGCCAGUAUUUAUAUAUUGAUGCCAGAAAUGGUCCUAAGUAAAUUAAACCAAUAAGAUGAUGUUAUGUUAAUAUAAAUAUAAUU
rnacentral:misc_RNA from 1 species